rnacentral:rRNA from 1 species
UACAGAGGGUGCAAGCGUUAAUCGGAAUUACUGGGCGUAAAGCGCACGCAGGCGGUUGGUUAAGUCAGAUGUGAAAGCCCCGGGUUCAACCUGGGAAUUGCAUUUGAAACUGGCCAACUAGAGUACGUGAGAGGGGGGUAGAAUUCCAAGUGUAGCGGUGAAAUGCGUAGAGAUUUGGAGGAAUACCAGUGGCGAAGGCGGCCCCCUGGCACGAUACUGACGCUCAGGUGCGAAAGCGUGGGGAGCAAACAGG